UACAGAGGUCUCAAGCGUUGUUCGGAUUCAUUGGGCGUAAAGAGCUUGUAGGCGGUUUGUCGCGUCUGCUGUGAAAAUCCGGGGCUCAACCCCGGACUUGCAGUGGGUACGGGCAGACUAGAGUGUGGUAGGGGAGACUGGAAUUCCUGGUGUAGCGGUGAAAUGCGCAGAUAUCAGGAGGAACACCGAUGGCGAAGGCAGGUCUCAGGGCCACUACUGACGCUGAGGCACGAAAGCCAGGGGAGCAAACGGG
rnacentral:rRNA from 1 species